GUGCGCUAAACCAGGGAGAGAACUAAAACAUGCAGGAUGCCGGCCCUCCAGGACCGACUUUGGACACCCCUGCAGUAAAGUGUAUUGGCUUUUAAUGGCUUUUACAGUAGUACUAAAUGCUAUGCUUGCUAAUGGGGUUUUAGCCUUUAUUUUAAGGAAACUCUGUGUUUCAGUAGUUUUUUCAGUUUCCUGGAAGUUUGUUCCAAAUUUGUGGAUGCACUGAAACUGAAUGCUGCUUCUCCAUGUUGGUUCUGACUCUGGGGACACAAAGUAACUCUUGUUGUGACAUUAGUCCUCUAAUCCUGGAAAUGUCCUUCAUCUGAUAGAAGCCCGACUUUGUAACCGUCUUUAUUUGACGCUGAAGGUUCAGGUCCAUCACUACAUCAGCUGUGAUAGUUGGAGCCGUGUGCCGACUCUUGAUGCUUCCUCUUUAGGUUCAAAAAUAAUUAUUUCAGUUUGGUUUGUGUUCAGGAGCCUGUAGAUAUUUAAUGGAAGAUCACAUGUGGUUCCCCAGAGAUGACUUCUGUCCACUCCGACGAAAAUUAUCUAAAGAAAUCUCUCAUUAGUCUGUAAGUUACUUAUGGUGAAUUUCUGCUUACAUUAAUAUUACAGCAGAACAACAAAUUUAAAAAGUGCUUAAAAGUAAUUUUAAGCAGCCUCAUUGAAUCACAUAUUAUUUAUUAAGAUGACUUUGUAAAGGAAACAAUAAACUUUAUGAAGAAAUUAAUAUGGCACAAAUUUUCUGUCUGCUGUAAAACUAUUGUAGAUCAGUGCUCGACUUAAAAGGUCUGGUUUAGCUCCAGGGGACGGAGUUACAAAUUAAUCGCCAUUUGGUGUUCGUUUAGCGUCACUGGCUGGCCGCGAUAUACUUUUUGAACGCAAGGUGGCGCCUAUUGAACGUCGUUAAUCAUUGAUAAACGGCAGGUUUCCUCUUUAUCCCGGUUAUUGAACGAUCCUGUGACGCUGAGAAGCGGGCUAAUUAAUUCCAAUUCUGCCCGUCGUGGUAUUUGUGUGCAUACGUCACAAGCGCUACGUUUAAGAACAAUUAAAUGUGAAUACGUUUUUUCUUUUGAGAAAAUUUUUUAUAUGGUCAAUCAUAGCUUAUCUUUACUACUAUUACUGUCAAGCUGUUGUUUUUGGCCAAUUUUAUAAACAGCGUUUUGCCAUUUUGUGCAAUAUGUGGAGGAUUCCCUUCCUGCUCUUCCCGUCAUCUCAGCUCGGGGCAAACACUGACGUGGUGUGGAAAACGAGCCACUGUGUUUGUGACGACACGGUGUGUAAAAAGGUUUGACUGAAACUAAACUGACCUUAACUAAGCUAAAGGGGGCGCUGUAAUCAGAGACGCCACCUGCAGGACAUUUCUGAAAACAAGUUUUUCUUUUGCCAAAAUAAUAAAAAAGACUUCUUCUUGUUU